AGCUUUGCGCAGUGGCAGUAUCGUAGCCAAUGAGGUUUAUCCAAGGCGCGAUUAUUGCUAAUUAAAAUCUCAAGGAGAUGUUUUUCUCAAAUGUGAAAGCUAUAACAUUUGAAGAGCUGUUCCUCUACUUACUUCUUAGUU